rnacentral:rRNA from 1 species
GAUGAACGCUGGCGGCGUGCCUAAUACAUGCAAGUCGAGCGAACGGACGAGAAGCUUGCUUUUCUGAUGUUAGCGGCGGACGGGUGAGUAACACGUGGAUAACCUACCUAUAAGACUGGGAUAACUUCGGGAAACCGGAGCUAAUACCGGAUAAUAUUUUGAACCGCAUGGUUCAAAAGUGAAAGACGGUCUUGCUGUCACUUAUAGAUGGAUCCGCGCUGCAUUAGCUAGUUGGUAAGGUAACGGCUUACCAAGGCAACGAUGCAUAGCCGACCUGAGAGGGUGAUCGGCCACACUGGAACCGAGACACGGUCCAGACUCCUACGGGAGGCAGCAGUGGGGAAUCUUCCGCAAUGGGCGAAAGCCUGACGGAGCAACGCCGCGUGAGUGAUGAAGGUCUUCGGAUCGUAAAACUCUGUUAUUAGGGAAGAACAUAUGUGUAAGUAACUGUGCACAUCUUGACGGUACCUAAUCAGAAAGCCACGGCUAACUACGUG